rnacentral:rRNA from 1 species
CCUACGGGUGGCUGCAGUGGGGAAUAUUGGACAAUGGGCGAAAGCCUGAUCCAGCCAUGCCGCGUGUGUGAAGAAGGCCUUCGGGUUGUAAAGCACUUUCAGUGGGGAAGAAAGCCUUGGGGCUAAUACCCUCGAGGAAGGACAUCACCCACAGAAGAAGCACCGGCUAACUCCGUGCCAGCAGCCGCGGUAAUACGGAGAGUGCGAGCGUUAAUCGGAAUUACUGGGCGUAAAGCGCGCGUAGGCGGUCUGAUAAGCCGGUUGUGAAAGCCCCGGGCUCAACCUGGGAACGGCAUCCGGAACUGUCAGGCUAGAGUGCAGGAGAGGAAGGUAGAAUUCCCGGUGUAGCGGUGAAAUGCGUAGAGAUCGGGAGGAAUACCAGUGGCGAAGGCGGCCUUCUGGACUGACACUGACGCUGAGGUGCGAAAGCGUGGGUAGCAAACAGGAUUAGAUACCCGGGUAGUC